UCCUGAGUGUACUUGCCGGAGGAAAGCGGAGGUGCCAAAGACUUGAAACCUCCUUCUUUUGGCAGGGCUCGGGUGGACACUUGAAGUCUGGAGAUCCUCUUUAAGAUUUGACUGCUCACCCCUUGAAAGACAAGUGUUGGCUGGAAAGAAAAGAUUGCUUUGUUCUGGAGGCUGGCAACCUGGAGAGAAGGCGGACUUCUAGAAGCUACUCCUAAGUGUUGCCCUUAGGAGCUGCCUGCUCCUCCGGUGGAGCCUGCCUGGCUACUGUUGGACCAGCUCUGUAUAGCUUUGGCUGUUACCCUGAUUCCUGGCCAGUCACUGGAUUCCAUGGCAGCAAGACCACAGGGCUGAAGAGCUUUGGGCCUGACAGUUUAUCUUCGAAGAGGAGGAAAUGGUAGCGGCAUUGUCAAGGAUGGAAGGAGGAGGG